rnacentral:rRNA from 1 species
GACGAACGCUGGCGGCGUGCUUAACACAUGCAAGUCGAACGGUAAGGCCUUCGGGUACACGAGUGGCGAACGGGUGAGUAACACGUGGGUGAUCUGCCCCCUACUCUGGGAUAAGCCUGGGAAACUGGGUCUAAUACCGGAUAUGACCUCCUUCUGCAUGGUUGGUGGUGGAAAGUUUUUUCGGUAGGGGGUUAGCCCGCGGCCUAUCAGCUUGGUGGUGGGGUAAUGGCCUACCAAGGCGACGACGGGUAGUCGGCCUGAGCGGGCGAACGGCCAGACUGGGACUGAGACACUGGCCAGACUCCUCCGGGAGGCGGCAGUGGGGAAUAUUGCGCGAUGGGCGCAAGGCUGAUGCAGCAACGCCGCGUGCGGGAUGACGGCCUUCGGGUUGUAAACCGCUUUUAGGAAGGAAGAAGGGGAGCUUGCUCCUUGACGGUACUUGCAGAAAAAGGACCGGCUAACUACGUGCCAGCCGCCGCGGUAACAC